rnacentral:rRNA from 1 species
GACGAACGCUGGCGGCAUGCCUAACACAUGCAAGUCGAGCGAGCUGAUCCCUUCGGGGUGAAGCUAGCGGCGGACGGGUGAGUAACACGUGGGCAACCUGCCUCAUAGAGGGGAAUAGCCUUCCGAAAGGGAGAUUAAUACCGCAUAAGAUUGUAGCUUCGCAUGAAGUAGCAAUUAAAGGAGCAAUCCGCUAUGAGAUGGGCCCGCGGCGCAUUAGCUAGUUGGUGAGGUAACGGCUCACCAAGGCGACGAUGCGUAGCCGACCUGAGAGGGUGAUCGGCCACAUUGGGACUGAGACACGGCCCAGACUCCUACGGGAGGCAG